rnacentral:rRNA from 1 species
UCAAGCUACUAAGGGCAUACGGCGGAUGCCUAGGCGCCAAGAGCCGAAGAAGGACGCGAUAAGCUGCGAAAAGCCAUGGGGAACUGCAAGUAAGUCUUGAUCCAUGGAUGUCCGAAUGGGGGAACCCAGCAGUAGUAAUGUACUGUUACUCAUAGCAGAGACUAUGAAGAGGUAGACCCGGGGAACUGAAACAUCUAAGUACCCGGAGGAAAAGUAAUCAAAUGAGAUUCCCUAAGUAGCGGCGAGCGAACGGGGAAGAGCCCAAACCAGCUGACUUCGGUCAACUGGGGUUGAGGACUGACAAAAAGCGAAAUUUAUCUAAUCGAAUGACUUGGGAAAGUCAAGCGUAGAAGGUGAAACUCCUGUAGAUGAAAGAUAAAUAAGUGGGUCAGAAUCCAGAGUACCACGAGACACGAGGAACCUUGUGGGAAGCAGGGGGGACCACCCUCCAAGGCAAAAUACUCCUUGGCGACCGAUAGCGAAUAGUACCGUGAGGGAAAGGUGAAAAGAACCCCGGGAGGGGAGUGAAAAGAACCUGAAACCGUAUGUCUACAAGCAGUUGAAGCACUAUAAAUGUGCGACAGCGUGCCUAUUGAAGAAUGAACCGGCGAGUUACAGUAUCUAGCGAGGUUAAGUGGAAAACACGGAGCCGAAGCGAAAGCGAGUCUUAAUAGGGCGAAAGUUAGAUAUUGUAGACCCGAAACCGCAGUGAUCUAUCCAUGACCAGGUUGAAGCUCAGGUAAAAUUGAGUGGAGGACCGAACCCGUGAACGUUGAAAAGUUUUGGGAUGAGUUGUGGAUAGGGGUGAAAUGCCAAUCGAACGCGGAGAUAGCUGGUUCUCCCCGAAAUAGCUUUAGGGCUAGCCUCAAGGUAAAAAGUAUAGACGGUAGAGCUCUGAUCGGGCUAGGGGGCGUAAAGCUUACCGAACCCAGUCAAACUGCGAAUGGCUAUACUUGUACUUGGGAGUCAGACUGCGAGUGAUAAGACCCGUAGUCAAAAGGGAAACAGCCCAGAACGCCGACUAAGGUCCCCAAUGCUGUGCUAAGUGGCAAAGGAUGUAAAGCUUCACAAACAACCAGGAUGUUGGCUCAGAAGCAGCCACCAUUUAAAGAGUGCGUAAUAGCUCACUGGUCGAGAGGCUUUGCGCCGAAAAUGUCCGGGGCUAAAGCACAGAACCGAAGUCGCGUCAGCAUACUAAUGUAUGUUGGGUAGGGGAGCGUUCUAUACACGACGAAGGUAUACCGAAAGGAGUGCUGGAGAGUAUAGAAGUGAGAAUGCCGGUAUGAGUAGCGAAAAGGAAGGUAAGAAUCCUUCCCACCGAAAGCCUAAGGUUUCCUGAGCAACGAUCGUCGACUCAGGGUAAGUCGGGACCUAAGCCGAGGCAAAGAGCGUAGGCGAUGGACAACAGGUAAAGAUUCCUGUACCACCGAUAAUUGUUUGAGCAAUGGAGUGACGCAGAAGGAAGGUUAAGCGGGCAGAUGGAAACGCCUGUCUAAGCUGGUAGGGUGAGAUGUAGGUAAAUCCGCAUCUUGAAAGCCUGAGAAGUGACGGAAAGAUGUAAGCAAUUACAUUGAAUUUAACUGGACCACGCUGCCAAGAAAAGCUUCUAGUGAGAUUAAAGGUGCCCGUACCGCAAACCGACACAGGUAGGCGGGGAGAGAAUCCUAAGGUGCGCGGGAAAACCCUCGUUAAGGAACUCGGCAAAAUGUAUCCGUAACUUCGGGAAAAGGAUAGCCAUUUUUGGUGAAACUACUAGCUAGUGGAGCUGAAGAAGGCGACAGAAGAGAGGCCCAAGCGACUGUUUACCACAAACACAGGUGCAUGCGAAAGAGAAAUCUGAAGUAUAUGUGCUGACACCUGCCCGGUGCUGGAAGGUUAAGAGGAGGGUUUAGAAGUAAUUCGAAGAUCUGAAUUGAAGCCCCAGUAAACGGCGGCCGUAACUAUAACGGUCCUAAGGUAGCGAAAUUCCUUGUCGGGUAAGUUCCGACCCGCACGAAAGGUGUAACGACUUGGGCACUGUCUCAACGAGGGACCCGGUGAAAUUGAAAUACCUGUGAAGAUGCAGGUUACCCGCGACUGGACAGAAAGACCCCAUGGAGCUUUACUGCAACCUGACAUUGGUUUUUGGUAAAUAAUGUACAGGAUAGGUGGGAGACUGAGAAUAUGGUACGCCAGUAUCGUAGGAGUCAAUGUUGGGAUACCACCCUUUAUUUACUGAAAAUCUAACUGAAUGAAUAACAAACAUCAAGACAGUGUCAGGCGGGCAGUUUGACUGGGGCGGUCGCCUCCGAAAGAGUAACGGAG